rnacentral:rRNA from 1 species
CCUACGGGAGGCAGCAGUGGGGAAUCUUGGGCAAUGGGCGGAAGCCUGACCCAGCGACGCCGCGUGGGGGAGGAAGGCCUUCGGGUUGUAAACCCCGUUAGUGUGGGAAGAAGGGAUGACGGUACCACACGAAAGCCCCGGCUAACUACGUGCCAGCAGCCGCGGUAAGACGUAGGGGGCGAGCGUUGUCCGGAAUUACUGGGCGUAAAGGGCGCGUAGGCGGUCAAUCAAGUCAGGUGUAAAAGACCCGGGCUCAACCCGGGGGUAGCAUCUGAAACUGAUUGGCUAGAGGGCAGGAGAGGGGAGUGGAAUUCCCGGUGUAGCGGUGAAAUGCGUAGAUAUCGGGAGGAAUACCAGUGGCGAAGGCGACUCUCUGGACUGGCCCUGACGCUGAGGCGCGAAAGCGUGGGGAGCGAACAGGAUUAGAUACCCUGGUAG